rnacentral:lncRNA from 1 species
AGGACAAUAUAAAACCUAAACUAAUUUUUCAAUUUUUCAAGCGUCCUUAACCAAGCGGUUGCGGUUGCCCUCAGUCACAAGUUUCCUAUCGAAACACUUUUGGAACAAAGAGUUACUUAGAGUUUCUCAAGUUUACCUAGUUGUACAGAGCAAGACAACAGUUACAAAUUCGGGAUCCCACAUAUUUGUUACAAAGGUUUCUACUCAACUGGAAUAGCCUC